UACGGAGGGUGCAAGCGUUAUCCGGAUUCACUGGGUUUAAAGGGUGCGUAGGCGGCCAGGUAGGUCUGCUGUGAAAACUCGAGGCUCAACCUCGAGACGUCGGCGGAAACCAUCUGGCUAGAGUCCGGAAGGGGAGAGUGGAAUUCCUGGUGUAGCGGUGAAAUGCGCAGAUAUCAGGAAGAACACCCGUGGCGAAGGCGGCUCUCUGGGACGGUACUGACGCUGAGACGCGAAAGCGUGGGGAGCGAACAGG
rnacentral:rRNA from 1 species